rnacentral:rRNA from 1 species
UACGUAGGGGGCUAGCGUUGUCCGGAUUUAUUGGGCGUAAAGAGCGUGUAGGCGGCCAGGUAGGUCUGGUGUGAAAACUCGAGGCUUAACCUCGAGAUGUCAUCGGAAACCAUUUGGCUAGAGUCCGGAAGAGGAGAGUGGAAUUCCUGGUGUAGCGGUGAAAUGCGCAGAUAUCAGGAAGAACACCAAUGGCGAAAGCAGCUCUCUGGGC